rnacentral:rRNA from 1 species
GCAUGCCUACAACAUAGCGUUAAUUCAUUGGAUCCCAUUAGAACUCCACAGUUAAGCAUUCUCAGGCUAGAGUAGUAUUGGCAUGGGUGAUCGCUUGGGAAGUCCUAGUGUUUUACAUUCC